rnacentral:rRNA from 1 species
GGAUCAUUACAAAAAAACGCGAGUCGCGAGGCUCGUCGUCAAAACCAUCGCGAACGUUACCCCCUUCGUCCAGUCGUUGCUUCGGCGGGCGGGCGGCCCCCCCCGACAGGGAGGAGCCGCGAGCCCGCCGGAGGGACGCCGCAACUCUUUUAUUCUCUAGCGUCUCUCUGAGUAGAUACAGCGAAACAAGUAAAAACUUUCAACAACGGAUCUCUUGGUUCCGGCAUCGAUGAAGAACGCAGCGAAAUGCGAUAAGUAAUGUGAAUUGCAGAAUUCAGUGAAUCAUCGAAUCUUUGAACGCACAUUGCGCCCGCCAGUAUUCUGGCGGGCAUGCCUGUCCGAGCGUCAUUUACAACCCUCAAGCCUUCCGGCUUGGUGUUGGGGCGACUACGCGCGCCGUAGGCCCCGAAUUUCAGUGGCGGGCUCGCCGCGACCCCGAGCGUAGUAGCAUAAACUCGCUCCAGGGCGCGCCGCGGCGGGCGCCGGCCGUAAAAACAACCACACGAAACAAAGGUUGACCUCGGAUCAGGUAGGAAUACCCGCUGAACUUAAGCAUAUCAAUAAGCGGAGGAAAAGAAACCAACAGGGAUUGCCCCAGUAACGGCGAGUGAAGCGGCAACAGCUCAAAUUUGAAAUCUGGCCUCGGCCCGAGUUGUAAUUUGCAGAGGAUGCUUUUGGCGCGGCCCCUUCUGAGUCCCCUGGAACGGGGCGCCGGAGAGGGUGAGAGCCCCGUAUAGUAGGACGCCUAGCCUGUGUAAAGCUCCUUCGACGAGUCGAGUAGUUUGGGAAUGCUGCUCAAAACGGGAGGUAAAUUCCUUCUAAAGCUAAAUACCGGCCGGAGACCGAUAGCGCACAAGUAGAGUGAUCGAAAGAUGAAAAGCACUUUGAAAAGAGGGUCAAACAGCACGUGAAAUUGUUGAAAGGGAAGCGCUCGUGACCAGACUUGCGCCGGGGCGAUCAUCCGGUGUUCUCACCGGUGCACUCGCCCCGGCUCAGGCCAGCAUCGGUUUUCGUGGGGGGACAAAAGCCCGGGGAACGUGGCCCCUCCGGGGGCGUUAUAGCCCCGGGCACAAUACCCUCGCGGGGACCGAGGCCCGCG